AUAAAAACCGAAAUUACUAAAACCCCAAAUCGUGAUUUCAUCCUGAACCCCCAAACCUACUCCCAUCGAUACUUCCUGUCUGGCGAUUCCAACCUCUCAGGCGAGGAGCAAGCAACUUCCUUCACCGUUUCCUGUCCAUUCCUGUCCGGCGAGCAAUUUCCCGUUGAUACCUCCCGUCCAUUCCUGUCCGGCGAGCAACUUGCGGCUACAUCUCCAGUUCUGUCCGGCAAGGUUAGGCUUCCAUCCGGCGAACGUCGACGACUUCGGUUAGGCUUCCAUCCGACUCAGGUUAGACUCCACAACCCAUCUUUGGGUUCUGAAUUUUUUUCAAUGUUUAAUCAAUAUCGAUUUAGGUUUUCCAUUUCACUUUCUUUCCAUUUCAAAAUUCUUUGGGUUUUCCUUUUCCCGAAAUUAAAAUCUCAACUAGUAUAUCCAGAAAUUAUCACCUAUUUUCCCCAGUACAUGUCCCCCAAUAUAGUUUAGAGUUUAGAAAAAUAAAUUGUGUAUUUCCCCAAUACGCAAUUACAACUGGAGUGUUGUGGGAAUUAAGGGAUUGAGGAUUGAUUCUCUCCAUUAAUGACUCAUAAAUCCUUUAUUGCCCAACUCUAAAUUACUGUCUCAUACCAUCUGUCUAUCUAUCUAUUAGUUGAUGUUAUACCAUCUGUAACAGUUUUAUACAACCAGAAGAGCUUGCAGAGACAACCAUGUCUGACUUUUCCCUCCAGUAUACACUGGAAACGAAAUGUCCAUUGUCAUAAGCACUCUCUUGGUUGGAUAUUGGAUCUAUAGAACUAAACUUGUGUGAAGUUACCAAAUUUCUGUUAAUAAUUAAGCAAGAAGCUAAAAAUAAAAUGAUUUCUUAUUAAUGAAUUACAAUCAGUUUUUAAAGUUUAAUGACACUUGAAAUUGAAAAUAUAUAGUUUUAGUUUGUAGAUAUAUGACAUUGUAGUGUAUAAAAAUAGAAAGAAUGAGAAGAAAAAUCAUACUUCAUUGAUAUUCCAAAGUUUGACAGGAACAAUAUGAAAUCCGAAUGUUGGAUUUUAAAAUAGGAAUAAUAUUAAAAUAUGUAAACAUGAAUAAUUAGGAAUAAUCAAAAACAGAAAUAAUUAGGAAUAAUCAAAAACAGGAAUAAUCAAAAAACAAAGUAGCCAUGCUUAUUCCCAUAUGUUGGGUUUUAAAACCAAAACCCCUAAAACUUGAAGUUAAAAGCCCCAAAUCAUGUUUUGAAGUUAAAAGCCCCAAAUCAUGUUUUGAAGUUAAAAGCCCCAAAUCGUGUUUUGAAGUUAAAAGCCCCAAAUCAACCUACUCCCUCCCGUUGAUACUUCCUGUUGUCCGGCGAGCAGCAGCGAUACCUCCAGUCCGGCGAGCAGCAGCGAUACCUCCUGUCCGGCGAGCAGCAACGAUAUCUCCAGUCCGGCGAUACCUCUAGGCCAUUCCGUUUAUUUCACCUCCAGGUAAGAUCGAUUUGUUUCUAUUCUUGAUUCAUAUGUUUACUUCACCGAUUAUUUAUGUUUUUGUUCUUGAUUCUAUUUUUAAUAGUUGUUCUUCAUUAUUCCGUUGUUGAUUCUAUUCUUAAUAGAUGUUUUUCUUUUUUUCUGUUGACUUUGACAUGGUUCAAGAGCAUCAUCCCUCAUGUCUAGUGGCCAUGGUUUAUGACAUGGUCAUAGACUAUAGAUAAGAAUCUGUAGAACCAAAAUGUCUCUUUCUUGUGUUGUAUGAAUCUAAGCUAGGAUGCUGGUCCUGAAAUAAAUCUCUAAGUUCUCCUCAAAUUCUGAAGAAUUCUCUUGCAUAAUAGCCUCUUGCAUAAUAGUCUAUGUGUUUGUAAAUCCUUAUCUGUGUGUUGACUCUCACCUAGCUGAAGUUCGUCUAAGAAUAAUAAAUAUUUAGGCACAUAAACUGACUAGAUGAUGACAAAAAUAUGUUAUAUGUUGCUGGUAUUUUAAAUAACUUUAUUUCCCACUUCAUUAUUUAAGCCAAUGAUCUAUUUGGAAUUUUAGAAGAAUGAAAUUCAGAUUUGACCAUUAAAUUUCAAGUUUGCUAAAAUAUUUUCAUUUAAAUGAAAACUAAAGUAAUAUUUUCAUAAAAUAUCUUAUCCCUGCUUAUAUGUAUGAAAACUAAAGUAAAAUUGUAAUACGAUUUCAUGUUAUUUAUCCUACUAUGCCAAAAUAAUGUAGUUUGUUUGUAUAUAGAAAAUUAGGCUAGUCAUUAAGAGGUUGCCACUAAGUUUACCCAAAAGAUUUUAAAUGUUAUUUUAUAGUUAUUUCAACCCUAUCCUACUUUUGUAGUUCUAUACUUCUAUUAUCCGUUCUGUUUUCAUGAUUUGUUGUAUUCACAGAUUAUAAAUGGCACCCAAAAAAACAUUGGUUAGUAAGAAACGACGACUUACACGAAGUUCUGUCGACCAUGACGAACCUUCUUCAAGUACUCAUGUUCCGACUGCAACUUUCUAUUGAGAAAGAAAAAGAAAAAGAAAAAAUGAACGAUCAAAUGGAGAAGUUAAUAGAGGUAUAUGUAUGAAAAUCAAUAUAAUUUUAAAGUAAUACAUAAAUAUAAAUGAAUCUUAAAUGUUUUACAGGAUAAUCGAGUUUUAAAAAGAAAAUAUGAUGAAAUGUUUGAUAUAUUUGAAGACCUGAAGAAAACAGUUUUAUCCCAAUCAAAUACAACUCCACAACCUUCAGAUCGUGGAUCGUUGCAGGAUAGAAGUAUUAAUGCAGGUCAGAGCGAUCAAAGAUAUCAAACUCCUCCAUCCAAAUAGGUCUUCCAUGUUAUUUUUGUUGAAUGUUAGUUUUGUUGAAUGUUAGUUUUGUUGAAUGUUAAUUUUGUUGAAUGUUGUUUUUGUUGAAUGUUAGUUUUCUUCAAUGUUGAAUGUUGUAUUUGUUGAAUGUUGUUUUUGUAUUGAAUAUUUGUUGAAUAUUGAAUGAAUUUACAGGA
rnacentral:lncRNA from 1 species